GGGAAUUCCCGGUACUAAGUUUCCACAUGUUCUAGGGUAGUUAGUACAUGCAAUACUCCUAGCUGUGAGUUUACCAGCUGCAAUAACUGUAUAUGUCAUUACAUAUUUUAAACCAAAACUUGCCAUUUGGGAGUGUUUGAGUGUGAUGUUACGUUUUAAGUGCUUAUUGUUAUUGUGGUUCAUUCACUGUUACAUUCACACAUUCCAUAGGUGUGCUUUCAUGUCAAAUGUGCUCUUUAAGCAAAUCUGAAUGUUUUGUAUCACCAUUUGCCUGUGUCAUAAUAUGAGUUGGAGUGUUCUUGACUUGACCUUGUAAUAUUUUGACAGUUUUGAAUUGUGUAGAAUAGGCAACAGAGACAUGGAGAUGAUUUCUUUUUGUAUGUUUGUUGAAAAUACAAUAAAUUUUUGUAUGUCUUAACUAAUUAAACAAUGACUAAUUGAUUUUUUUAGAAUCUUGCUCUUUGUGUGAAAUACACGUACCGGUACCUAUAUAUUUUUAUGUUUGUGUGCUCAAAAUUAGCAGUUUGUGUUGUUUUGAGUCUAUUUUUUAAAUAGAUGUUUAUUAUAUUUGUAUUCCUGCAAGUAUGAUGGGUAAACUCUAGUUAAGUGUUCCAUAAAAAAGCACAGUAUGAGAUUGAAGCUAUGGCCAGGGUAACUGCUGUGAACAUUUUAUUUGAGCAAAUAGUGACAAAAUAUAAUGCUGAGCAGUGGAAGUUUGAUGUUACAAAACAAUUAAAUACUAGUAUAGAAGUGGUGCCAAGAUAUAAGCUUGACAGGGAAAUUCUUAUCCUAAAUAUAUAUCUAUUGUCUUACCAUGUAUUUAGUUUUAAUCAUUAAGAAAAUACAAAAAGGUAUGUUCAAACAAUAUUGCCUUUUCUCAUUAAAUUAUGAAGAUUUUAGAUCACUCAGUGUCAUAUUCAUCUUAUGAAACAAGAAAUACAAACAGCCACCAGUUUCAGAGUUACCAAGGCAUCAGCAAAUCAUGUUUGUUUCAGUGGAUUUUGUUAGCUUGUUUGACAAUUGUUAGUCAUGGAAAAUGUCCCAGGCAGAUGGAACUAUCUAGAUUAUGGAGAAAAUAUUGUGUUCUUUGUGUGUUUUAUUAAGUUCCUGUGUUAAUGGAUUUGUUGUGGUCACUGAAGAACGAAGAAUGGAAUUGUGUUCACCAAUCUAUCUGUAUAGAAUACACUGCUCAACUCUUUCUAUUGAUAUUGAUAUACAAGUUUACUUCAUAGUUGUGACUUCAGACUGUCACUAAAAGAUAGAUGGAAAUACUCAGUGUAUGAACUUUGUCUAUUGCAAUAGUAAUGGGAUAUAAGCAGUUGUUUUUCAUUCAUGUUGAAUAUUUUGACCAUGGUAAUAAAAAGGUCCAUGUCAUAAGUAUUCAUUUCUGAUUUCAUUCUAAAGUGUGUGUUUUUUCAGGUAUCCCAAGUAGCAUGUAUGCCAAAGUAUGUUAUAGUGAUAUUGAUCAAAUGUGCUCUGAACUUUCAAUUUCAGAUUCUAUUGUGGAAGUUUCAGUAGAGCAUGGUAAUUAACAUUGUUUCGACUGAAUCUAGAUGAUACAAUUGUCUGUAAAUGCAGACUUCCUAUAAUGAGUGCAAUAAAGACUUUACACUUAA